AAACUCAUAUGGACCGAACUUUCUUAAUCUUGAUUUCUUGCCUUAUGGUAGCACAGCUGCCCACCAUGUCUUCCAAGUAGUUAAGCAGCUCACCCUUUCCUAUCAAUGUACCUUUCAUUGAUUAAGGUGCUUUGCCUUUUAUGCGUUCAAAAUGAGAACUCAUAGAACUCACAUGCAUAAUUAACUCGAUUGGAUUGGCACAGAAACAAAAUAAUGUCAACACGAUAGGUUGUAAACCUCAACUCGUGUGCUAGUGAUGAUCGAUAAGGUUUAUUUGAUUUGUUCUUGAAACCUUUCAAGACCAUUAAGACUCCCACUGACUCCUUGACAUAUAAGAUUCUCUUGUCAAUAAACAUUUCUUGACAAACAAAUAUUCAAGAGUUAGUGUAGCUUUUAUCAAAACACUUCAUAAAUUGGUCCUAGUUGGUCUUUGUCUUAUCCAAGACAUCACAACUUUCCACAUUUGAUGAAUGUUAUAAACCUUCUUAAUACUUAUCACUCAAUGUCACAAUCUUAACUCUAAGACUUGUUUUGGAACGAAGUAUGAUUGACUUCUUGAUUUAACCAUUUCUUCAAUUCUUGAUUCCUCUUCUUAGACAUACAAUUGUACUAAGACUCACUUAGAGGAUCAAUUGAGAUAUGGUUCUUAAUCAUUAAGACCUAUCAUAAAGCAUAAAAGGUACUCUCCCUUCUUCUUAGAAUGGAGAAACUUUUAUCUUUCUGCCUACUUGAUUCUUCUUAUUCGUUCUGCUAUUGAUUUAAACUUUUUCAAUCAAUUCAGAAUUACACUUAAUCUUAUAAGUAUAAUCAUAUUUACUAAACCUUUAGUAAAUCAUGACGAAUAUCUUUGUUACUCUUAUGGUGGACUUGAUCAACACGCAACUUUGUGUACUCGAUCUCCUAGUCCUUCACUUGACACUUUGUCAAUGAAUUAGUCUAAUUUCCAAAUAUGAAAUUUCUCAUUCAUCGUGCAACCAAGUUGCAUGAUUCCAAGUUUCUGUCCAAUUGAAACUUGGGCGAUGAGAAACUCUCCCUAUUUGGUAAACUCUCGACUUUCCAUAAAUAACAUAAUAAGAACCAAAUCCAUUAUUGCUAAUAAUAGAAACAUUCAAACAUCAAUUUUUCAUAUACGCCAUUGCAAGGAUAAAUAAAUAAUAUAAAAUCAAAAUUUAUUUUAUUGCGGAAAAAAUUUGUCCUUACAAUGCAAUUCAUUGAAAAACUAUGCUAAUACAUCUUUCUUAGCAAUCUAAUUCUAACUCUAAGUAGUAGCUCAAGAAUCUAAUCUUCGAGAAAUGCGAUCGAAAUCCAUUCCUUCACGGUUAGAUUCUGCUCACUUCUUCCCUUAAGCUUCCUUUCUUUUCUUCGAUCCUACAAAACAUCAAUUGUAAUCUUAUCACAUUAUGUAUUAAGAAUCUAGAAUAGAAGCUUAAAAGAGUUAGUUAAUGGAUUUUACCUAUAUUAGAGCCAUACGUUUCGACUCUCCCAUCUCUUAGAUCUCUUAGGUAAAUGGGGCAGCUUCGUCUCCAAUGCCCUUUCUCUUGGCAAUAAAAGCAAAUUGACUCUUUUGGAACAUGACAUGGAACUACUUCAGACAUUGCCUUUCUCUUAUGAUCAAACUUUUCGAUCAUAGCAUGUCUUUCGUUGCCAUUGUCUAUAUCCAUAGAGGUCUUGAAGGCAGAUUCACCAAUCAACUUUGCUUUUCUAUUGCGCCAAACCAUUGCUGAUUCAGCAGCAAUAAGCAUAUAGGUGAGAUCUAUAAGGGUCACGUCGCGGUUCAUCAUAUAGUACUCUCUUACGAACUCACUAUAUGAGUUAGGAAGUGACUGAAGAACCCAAUCAACAGCCAUUUCCUCACAGACAACGGAUCCCAACAUUCUUAACCUAUCAAUGUGUGACUUCAUCCCUAGGACGUGUGCACACACCGACUUUCCUUCUUUAUGUUUACUUGCCAAAAGGGCUUGAGUGAUCUUGAACUUUUCAAGCCUUUGAACUUGUGGGUUAGGGAGAAUAAUUGGAGGAGGAGGAGGAAGUGAAGCAUGAUUUCUUGUUCCUCGAUCGAAUCGUGGAAUAUCAUCUUCAUGUGGAAUGCUUGUUCCACGGGAUUUGGGAAGACCAUAGUUGUCGAACUUUGACAUCUACAAAACGGGAGAAAACGAAUUCAAGUUAGUUGAUUGAUUGAGUCCUUAGUAAAUCACCCAAAUGAGAUACUAAGGCUAGGACCCAACACAAUAUUCUACAACUCGGGAGAGGGAUGCCGUAACCCUAAUUGCAGAAUAUUUGAAGGUAAGUGAAUGACGAUUCACUAAUUUCCACCAUGAAAAACGAAAAAGAAAUUUAAGUUUUAAAUCUAUGAAAACUCCUAGAUCCUUUGAGAUUCAUUGAACUUUCAAUGGCAUGUUUAAAUCUCGAUAUGCCCCUCUUGUUUGUGACUGGGAUGCCGAGGAUCACAAAGCGGGUGUGAAUAACCAUGCAAACUUACAUGGUGCCCUCACAUGUUACAGUCACCUAUUCGAUGUGCCGGUAAACCACACACGCUCCACCGAACUAUGACAAACAUUGAGUCACCCUUUGCUACCUUUGCUUAGAACCAUUUAGUGUGCCGGUUAACCACACACGCUCCACUAACGUCUUCGCAAGGGCACAAAGUGUAAUUUCAUGGAAUUGCAUCAAUUCACUUUUGCCUAAGUAACUAAGAUUGGGAAUUUUAUGAAAACAUUUAGUUACUUUAAUAAUUCAUUAUACUUAUAAUGGAAGGUUUCGUCCUAUCCUACCCGUUCGGCUAACGACCCUCCACUAGUCAAGAGUGCGGUGGGUAAGAGUGGAUACCCAUUCAAUCGCCAUUUUAUAGGCAAUUUCCUUAAACACCCCUUAUAGACCAGCUUCGUGAAUGAGGCCUACUAACGGUAAGACUGACUUUUACUCAUACAUAUAUAUAAUGUUAGACUUUUAAUGUUAUAUAUAGUAUAGGGUGUAUUUUAUACUUUUAAAAUACUAGGUGGUCUAAUUUAACAAUUAUACUUUUAAUUCAAUUAAAUUGUAAACCUAAACUUUUAUGGAUUUAUUAAACCUCUUUUAAUUAUACACCUUAAUUAAUUAAUAAAACCAUAAGGGUGUGAUUUGAACUUUUUCAAAACUAUACUAGAGUUUUAGAAUUUAACAUUCCUAAUUAAACUUUUAAUCAACUUUUAAAUUCCAAAACUUGAGGGCAAGUUUUGAAACAUUUCAACACAUUAGGGUUUAGAAUUUAAAUAUGCAUCAAAAUUAAACUAUUUAAUCAAAAUUUAAAUUCCAAAACUUGAGGGCAAGUUUUGAAACCUUUUUCAAAACAUUAGGGUUUCAACUAUUUAAAUUUCAAAACAACAAAACUUUUGGGGUUCAAAUUUAAACUAUAAAACCUAAAGGGCCAAAUAUGAAACUUUUCACAACAACAAGGAUCAAAUAACAAAUAAUUCAAAUUAACAUUUAAUCACAUAAUUAUCCAUAUUUGAUGAUUUCUUGCAAAAUAAUUUAUCAAUUUACUUAAAAUAAUUAAUCAAUUAUCUUAUAAGGAAACAAUUAUCCUAUUAAUUGAUAAAUAUCUUCAAUUAGAUUAAAAUUAUAGUCAAAUAUAUCAUAUAAUCGGAUUAAUAUUAAUCUAACAUGAUAAGGUAAUUAUCCCAAUGCAAAAACAGCAAGAAAUCCCGAGAUAAGCACUGUCUGACGCACCGACUCGCCGAGUCACCCUCUGGAACUCGCCGAGUAGGGCUGACUCGCCGAGUCCAAGAGUGACUCGCCGAGUCAGGUCGAACAGUGAGGCCAAAACACGUUUUUCAGUUACAUCAAGCAUCAAUACAAUAGAAACCAAUCAUGGCUCUGAUACCACUGAUGGGUUUUGGUCAUAAGACAUCCUAUGUGCUCAUACAAACCCUAAAGCUCGGAUCUAGGUUUCUCUAUUGUACAUACUUUGAAUCCAAGACUUUGAACCCUAAUUCUAGCAUAUGGAAAUCAGAAUUCACAUGUAAAUAGGUUUAAGAACAUACCUUGAUUGUUAUAUAGCAAUAACAAUCCAAUUCCUCCUUGUAUUGACCUUGGAAAGCAGAGAGUCACAAGUGUCACUCCUCUAAUGGCUUACAAACACCAUAAGCAAGUGGAGAAGGUAUAAGGAGAGAGGAGGGAGGUUAGAAUUCGUAUCUAGGGCUUCUUGGGGAGGGGUCCACGAAUUCAUAACCCUAGGGGUGUUUAUAUAGGUGUAGAGAUAGGGUUUCAGUCAUUAUCCUUAUCUAGUUGAUUAUCCAUUAAGCAACCAAUAAGAUAAUCCUUGAAUCCUUAUCAUACUCGAAUUCUAAGGCUUUCCAACCUUAAAUUCGUUCACCACACUCAUAAGAUAAUUCUUACCUUAUUUUGUAACUAUCACAUAAUUACAAAUCAGCCCCUCUAGUUUAAUAAUUACACUUGAUCACAAAAUUAAUUCUCAAUUAAUUAUUGACCAAUAUUAAUUAAACAAAUAUGAUUUCUCCUUUAAUAUAUUAUCCUUAUAACAUAUUAAUAAAUCAUAUUAUCCUCUCUUUCUAUUUAUUUCUCCAAUCAAGUUGCUUUGGUGAAGGCAACCCAAAAGGACCAUGCACCAUCGGGUCAAGUACAUACCAAAAUAGUUAUGGACUUAGACACUAAUCCAACAAAAAUACCAACCUCAUAACCAUAUAAUGUAAUUAUUUAAGCAAACAACAUGCAUAAUGAGCCUUCAGCCUGACUGGGCCGCCUCGCAGGCCUUUAGUUUAUCUGGACCGUUCUCCGAGCCUUCGGCACGUCUGGACCACCUCACAGGGCCUACAGCCUAUCCGUACCGCUCGCCGGGCCUUCGAUCUGACUAGCAUACCCUCUUGGGUUUGUAGUAUAUCCGGACCACCCUGGGUAUGUUGGCCUUUAGCACAAAGCAGGACCGCCUCAACCCAACCCCCAAUCAAACAAACAUGUGCACAUACAUAUCAUAUGCUAUCAUAAUAACAAUCAAACCGGUCUAGCAGAUCAAAUAGCAUAGCAACAUCAUAUAACCAGGGCACCGACCUAUCCAGGUCACUAACAUAGCAUAAUCCUAUAAACAAGAUACCGACCAACCAGGUCACUUAGCAUAAGCAUGACAUCAUCCUAACGACCGGGAUGCAAAACAGUAAAGAUAUCAUGUAUUAAACCGGAUACAAUCCAUAAAGGGCCGGACUUGGUGCCUUAGACCCUGUUGAUAUAGUGAGGAUAACUCACCUCACAAUGUCGCACUGAAAAUGAUAGGCUCAAACUCUCGAAUCACCAACACGAACUCCACCACCUAUAGUUAUCAUAAAACCCCUUUUUCCAUAAAUCUCCAAAUUACCAAAGAGCCUCAGGAGUCAACUGGUCAACUCUUGGUGAAAGUCAAAGUCCACAGUGAAAUUCAACAGUCCAUGUUGACUCGACUCGUCGAGUGUAGCUGACCGACUCAUCGAGUCCUUCCUGAACUCGAGAAGUCAUGAAAUCCGUGAUUGGCUCGUCGAGUUCCCUUUUAACUCGCCGAGUUCAUACGUGUCUAAGAAUCAAGAAAAACCUUAGCCGACUCGUCGAGUCUUCAAACGACUCGUUGAGUUCAAGGCAAUCUUCAACAGACUCACCGAGUUUGUUCAUCAACUCGACGAGUUCAUGACCAUCUUCAUAUGACUCACCGAGUUGGCUAUGCAACUCGCUGAUUCCUUGCAGACCUUCAUCCAUGCAGACACUUUUUAAGCCAUGCCAAGGUUCCAUAUUACAAUUCCAAGCUUCUAAGUCAUGUUUCUCACGUAAAGUUGCAAAUUUUACACACAUGCAAGGCCCUAAAGGCUCUAAAUGACCAAUCUAAGCUUCUAAUGGAACUUUAAACCUUAGGAGUGUCUCAUGCUUGCAAGAGUUGGAAACUUUAAGGACUUAGGACUCAAAAGAGGUUCAGAUUCGAAGUUUUAACUUCAGAUCUAGCUCCCAUACCAAAAUCCCUUUAUGAAUAACUAAAGGAAGCCCUGGUUUUCACAUAUGAAUGAUUCUAGAAGAAAAUAGGUUAAGGUAACAGCUUAUUACCUUCAAGAUGUGCCCCAACUGAAGUAGACUCUUGAUCCACACAAAAUCCUUGAUGAUAGCCUCUUGAUCUACAAGUUUCCUUCACAAAAGUCACUUCUCAAAGCUCCAAAACACUCUCCAAGCUCUCACUCACGGAAAUUAGGGUUUCUGGCUCUCAAGGGGUGAUAGAGGACAGUGGGAGGCGCUAAUGGUCCAAUAUAUAGGGUACAAAAACCCUGAAACUUAGGGUUUCCACUGCCAGCUCCUACUCGUCGAGUCCCCCAUGCCAACUCGACGAGUCAUUCAAUUAUUGACGUGUCCUGGCCCGCUGCUACUCGACCAGUCAUAGCGUCAACUCGUCGAGUAGACCUUAAACAUGAAAUCUAAAUGGAAAAUUAAUGAUACUUGACGGUUGGGAUGUUACACACACACACACACACACACAUAUAUAUAUAUAUAUAUAUAUAUAUAUAUAUAUAUAUAUAUAUGUAACACCCUGUUUGAAAGUAUUCGGUUGUGGUCUUAGAAACCAAAGAGUAGGGGCAAUUAGGCUUUUAUGGGUCCCGGGUUUUAUCCGAGAGGUUUUAGGCUUGGAGGUGUCGAGGGGAGCGUAGGGCUUCCCGCCACCUUUUCAUGGAUAUAAAGUUCAUCGGAAACGGAGUUAGAAUGAAGGAUUUAUGACUCUUUGAAGUUAUUGGCGAAAAGGGCCCCUAAUGGAAAUAAAUGACAAGGAAGGACCAUGCAUGCAAAGUGGAAGGCGUGUGGGUACGCCCAACGUAUAAAAGGAAAUGGUCGCGGGUGUUGUUGGUGUACACCCAACGUACGUCCAGUUUCCAGAAACCCUAAUUUUAGGGCCAACCUCUAUAUAAAGAACUUAAUGGAUCAAACCCUAGCCUCCUUAUUUGUUCCCCAACCUUAGAGAUAACCUAGAACGCCUCAUCCCAUUAUUCUUUUGCGGUUUUAACCUUAAGAAGCUCAUUUUGGUGGUGUAAGCCUGGAAGAGGAAAAAAAAGUUGGCAAGGAAGAACUUGGGAUGUAGCACCUGGUUCCUGGUACGUACUCCUUGUGUAUAAUAUUUAAAUUUUGUGCAUUUUUGCCUUGGACUCGGCGAGUUGAAGGACCAACUCGCCGAGUAGGAGCGGGAUAAGGCGCGGGGUUUGAACUUUGGACUCGGCGAGUCGGUCCCCGGACUCGGCGAGUAGACCCUUUUUGGACAAAAACCCUAAUCCGGGUGUUUGCACCCUAUUUAAACGCUCUAACUUGGCCUCCUUCAUCCCUAACACUUCCAGAGAGUUGUAAAAAGAAACCCUAGCCCCCAUAUUGUUCUUGAGAGUGAUUUUGGCUUUGUGGACAAGGUUUGGAGCUUAAAGGAAGGAAGAGGAGGUUGAAGUGUGCAAGGAGGGGAGGUAGAUCCAGAAUCUGCACUGUGAGAAGCUUCCAUUCAGGUAGACAAGUUCUUACCUUGAUCACUAGUUCAUUAGAUCCCCUUUUAUCCCAAAUUAGUGGUUUCCAAGCCCUAAAACCUCAAACUCCAUGUAUUUAUGCUCUAAGUUCUGAAAGGACUUCGGAUUGGGAUCUUAUGGACAUCUUAGAAGUAUAAAGUCUUUGUGGUUGGAGUUAUUGAGGCUCCUAUUGAGUGUAUGACCCCUUAAAGAGCUUGGAUUUGCCUUCUUGAGCUUAUAGGCCAUGCAUGCACGUAAAGUUUGCAACUUUACGUGAUAAGCAUGGCCUAGGAGCAUGGAUCUAUGGUUUUGAAGCGUUGCAUGUCUCAAAUUUGGUCUGUAUGGGAAGUGGGUCCAAGGGACUCGGCGAGUCCCAAAGUAGAACUCGGCGAGUUCUAUGAAGAUGGUCUUAGACUCGGCGAGUUGGAUGAACAACUCGGCGAGUCCUAUGAAGAUUGCCUGGAACUUGACGAGUUGUUCUUCAAACUCGGCGAGUCAUAUGAACUUUCACUGAGAAAGAGGGGUUUAAUUGUUGAAGGUCCAACCCUUCGUAUCUGCAUGCGAAAUUAGCAAUUUAACGUGUAUCAAUAGUCCCACAACUCCAAAUCCUCUUAAGGGAUGCUAUGGUGAGGAUUUGGAAGCGAGUAGGAGGACUGCUCGUGGGACUCGGCGAGUUGUUCUUGGACUCGGCGAGUCAGAUCACGAGUCGGUUCUAUAGUCCCGACUGGUGAGUUAAGGGUGACUCAGUGAGUGGGGAGAGGGACCUGGUGAGUAGGACAAGGUUAGUAGGAGAAGGACUCGGCGAGUCCAGUCAACUGGAAGUUGACUUUGACCAAGGAGUUGACCUUGGACCUGGGUUGGGUCAGUCAAUUGACUAAGGGUAUUUAUGAGUGGCUAAUCUAUGUUUAUGGAUUUGUAGCCGGAGGAUUACCGGUGCAGCAGCCAGACGUCUAGCAGUCAGACUUUCGGUAGCUAUUUUUCGAGGUGAGUUACCUUCCAGUAGCAGUGGGUCUACGGUCACAAUGCCGGCCCACCAGUAGGAGUUGUAUGAUAAAUGUUUGUCUCUAUGAUAUUCAUCUGGGGUUGCUACUACCUGUGUUUUGCUUAUGUGCUAGUAUGAUAUGUUGCUAUGUGAUAUGUGUUAUGUGGUAGCAAUAGGGGGUGAAAUAGUCCCCAGUAUCCGGUCGUAAGGACCGAAGGGGAGGCCAGCACCCAGAUAUACUAGGCAGUAUCUGGUCAUAAGGACCGAAGGGGAGACCAGCACCCAGAUAUGCCAGGCAGUAUCCUGUCGUAAGGACCGAAGGGGUAGGUCAGGCACCCAGAUAUGCCCGACAGUAUAUGUAUGUUAUGUGAUUAUAUGGUAUGUGGUAUAGUGGGGGAACUCACUAAGCUUCGUGCUUACAGUUUUCAGUUUUGGUUUCAGGUACCUCUUAUUCGAAGGGGAAGGAACUAGCGCGUUAACGGCCCAUCACACUUGCCUAGUAUUCCGCACUACGAGACCCUCCUGGGAAUUUGUACUCUGACAUUAUUAUGUUUUAUAAAAAUGUUUUUCAAGACAUGCGAUAACUUUUAUGAAAUGAUAUGAUUGGUGAAUGUGUUAAUUCCAAUGUUUAAAAAUGAAAUUUUUGGCUCGUAUUUUUGGGAUGUUACAAGUUGGUAUCAGAGCCCUGGUUUGAGGGAUUCGGACACACCUUCGGGGGUGUCUGAACUCAAAUCGAGGGAUUAAAAGAUUUUAAAGAAGAAAAUAUUUUCUAAAAAGCUAAGUAAAGAGUUUUAAGAAGGAACGAAGUGUGUGAUGUGCGCGACCGGCCGAGCUCAAGUAAGUAUUCCCCAAAGUACCCAUACCAGCUUAUGUUAUGUUUAUCAGGUUCAGUAGAACAGCAUGCUAGAAUAGGACUAAGGAUCUAGGAGUGAUGCCUCAGGUGCCUGCUUUAUGUGCUUCAUUGUAUGAAAAUUGCAUGCUAGAAUUGAGUAGACAACAGUAGGAUAGCCUGUUAGGGUUAUGCCUGAUAGUAUGAGUUUAGCAUUGUAUGCUAGUUCAGCUUUUCUCUAUGAGGACGGAUUUGCGUGAGAUUGUUCCCUUUUUGUUUGAAUGUUGCAUGCUUUGUGCUUCGUGGGACUCUGAGUGAUGGGAGUUAGACAUUAGGUGAAUACGUCACGUCACAUAUGAUCAGGGUUGAAUAAUCUUAGAGUGCUGGAUUUGGCCCUAUUGCGCAGCUCUUUUCUGAGUCUAACCGUUGUAGGGCCGAGUCUGUUACUCGAAGGAUUAUUUGAGCCUGACCACAUGUGAUGGUAUUCAGGUAAUGACUAACUGAUAUUACAAGGAGGCCUUCAACAGCUGAGGACCGGGUAGGGUGGAGUUAGAGAUAUUCCUGGGGCAAGCCUAGGAUGAGUAUAGCAGUGAUUAGCAGUAGUGAAAGGGACCUGGUAGAGUCAAGGCAGUCCUUGGAGAAGGUACGGAUAGAUGUGGAAGGUAGUAUGGGCUCGUACUACUGAAAGCAGAGGAUCCGUACCCGAACCGAGGAAGGCCAAGAUAAGACCAGGGAACUUGUAGUAGGUGUGAUCCCUCCAGAGGUAUCAGUAUCACUAAUAAUUAUUAUUUAUGUAUUUCAGAAUGGUGGUACUGCGCUUGAGGCCCGCAGUUGGUAGUACAGGAGAGGGAUCGGGUUCGGGAUCAGGUUCUGAGCCAGUAGAUGAGGGGCUACGCGAGUUCAUUGCAUCGGAGAUCACCAGAGGAAUCCUUGAGUCGACCCCCAUUAUCUUCGGGUCGAUCAAGGAGGGGAUAUUGGAGUUGAUGGAGGAUCGCCUCAGGGCAUUCAGGAAUGACAUGGCAUCUGGCCAGUCGGGAUCUCGCACACUGUCCUUCAAGGACUUCCGGGGUAGUGGUGCGCCAUAUUUUCACGGGGCAAAGGACCCCAUAGCUGUUGGACGAUGGAUUGCAGACAUUGAGUUUGCACAGAUGAUUAGCUUCUGCCUUGAGGGGUCGAAGGUGAGGUUCGCAACAGGGUGUUUACGAGAUCGAGCUAGGGAUUGGUGGGAGUCCGUGGGUGACUCGUUGGGAGCCUCGACUGUCGAGGCUAUGACUUGGUCGAACUUCGCGACCCGGUUCAGGGCAGAGUUCGUGCCGGCUGUCGAGCUUCAGCAGCUGGCCAGGGAGUUCUUGGAUAUGAGACAGAAGACGAAGACUGUGGCGGAGAUCACCGCCAAGUUCCGGGAGAGGGCGUUGUUGGUGCCCUAGUACGCGGGAGAUGAAGAUAUGAGGAGGACCUGCUAUCAUGAUAUGCUACGAGCUGAUAUUUGGGAGCAUGUCAGUUUUUUAGCUUGCCCUACCCUGGACUCUAUGAUAGCCAGGGCAAGGGAGAUGGAGAUAGACCUGGAGCACAUCCGGAAGCGGAAGGCGGAAGAGGGGCAUGUUAUGGGGGCUUCGGGGAAGAAUCCCAAGGGAUCGGAUGUGGGGCCGAAAGGCCAACAGGGGCGGGGCCGCUGCAAGGAAUGCGGCAGGGCGCACGAGGGAGCGUGCAAGAUGGGAUCAUCAGGCUGCUACAAGUGCGACAAGUCAGGGCACUUUAGCCGGGAUUGUACCGCCCCUACACCCGUGAUACAGACGUCUGAGUUUUUGUAUUUCCACUACAACCAGAGGGGCCACAAGAAGGCCAAUUGCCCCCAGUUGACAGCAUCAGCGCCAGUAAAGGCGCCAGCUCCAGCUACCCUGUGGAUUACUGAUGGACGACAAGGCAAGGCAGAGGCUCCAGUGGUGAGGAGCUGGGCGCUUCAGCUGACUACAGAGGAGGCACGCGCCGCACCCGAUGUGGUGACGGGUAUGAUUCUUUCCCUCUAUUUUAUUUUAUAUGAUGUUAUGCUAUUGAUAUGUGCCCUGUGUUUAUGCGUUAGGAUCGUUCCAUGUGAACGGUAUCCCAGUUCAGGUGUUUUUUGACUUGGGUGCCACCCGGUCAUUUGUUUCCCUUGCGCUUAGCAAGAGGUUUACUGAGUCUUCAGGCAUGUUGGAUUGCCCAUUAGAGGUAGAGAUUGCCGAUGAUCGAUCGGUGCAAGCAUCAACAAUAUUCAGGGAUUGUGUUCUAAGGUUAUUUGAGGAGUGUUAUUUGGUGGAUUUGGUUCCCAUCCCGUUGCGGGGGAACAAGGUGAUUAUAGGCAUGGAUUGGUUGAGCCCUAAUAGGGCAGUGAUAGAUUACGCACAGCAUCUAGUGCGGAUCAGGACCCCGAGUGGGGGAGAGUUGGUGAUCCACGGCGAGAGGCCACAGCGUGGACCUGCAGUAUGUUCAACAGCGAGAGCUAGGCGCUACCUUCAGCAGGGUUGCGCGGGAUAUGUCGCGUAUAUUAUGGAUACCCGGGAGACGGGUAAAGCGACUGUGAGCAAGGUUCUAGUGGUGCGAGACUACACUGAUGUGUUCCCGGAGGAGCUUCCUGGAGUACCUCCGGAGCAUCAGGUAGAGUUCAGGAUCGACCUAGNUAUCGGUUGGCUCCUCCCGAGAUGCAGGAGUUGUCUACGCAGCUGCAGGAGCUGCUAGACAAGGGAUUUAUUCGACCGAGCAAUUCACCCUGGGGAGCCCCGAUCCUGUUUGUGAAGAAGAAGGACGGGUCGCAUCGGAUGUGUAAAGAUUACCGGGAGCUAAAUAAGGUAACGGUGAAGAACCGUUACCCACUCCCGAGGAUUGAUGACCUCUAUGAUCAGUUGCAGGGAGCAUCUUGGUUCUCCAAGAUCGAUUUGCGUUUAGGUUAUUAUCAAAUGAGGGUCAGAGAGGGGGAUAUGCAGAAGACCGUGUUUCGGACGCGUUAUGGCCAUUAUGAGUUCGUGGUGAUGCCGUUUGGACUCACCAAUGCUCCUGCCACGUUCAUGGACCUCAUGAACCGUGUAUGUAGACCGAUGUUGGAUCGGUCUGUGAUAGUUUUCAUUGAUGACAUCUUGGUUUAUUCCAAGACGCAGGAGGAGCACGAGGAGCAUCUGAGAGUGGUUUUGGAGACCUUGAGGAGGGAGAUCUUGUACGCGAAGUUCUCCAAAUGUGAUUUUUGGUUGCGCGAGGUGCAAUUUCUUGGGCACCUUGUCAACCAGAAUGGAAUUUCAGUGGACCCGGCCAAGGUGGAGGCCGUGAUGAGAUGGGAAGUUCCGAAAUCUCCAUCCGAGAUCUAGAGUUUCCUCGGAUUAGCAGGCUACUAUCGGAGAUUCAUUCAGGAUUUCUCCAAGAUAGUCGUACCCCUGACACGGUUGACUAGGAAAGUCGUGGUCUUUCGAUGGGGGCCUGAACAGCAGGCAACGUUCGAGAUUUUGAGGCAGAUAUUGUGCGAGGCGCCAAUCUUAGCCCUGCCUGAGGGUGAAGAGGAUUUUGUGGUAUUCUGUGAUGUGUCUAUCUCGGGCUUAGGCACAUUAUUGAUGCAGAGGGGACAUGUCAUUGCUUAUGCCUCGAGGCAGCUGAAGCCUCACGAGGCGAACUACCCGACGCAUGAUUUAGAGUUGGGGGCGGUGGUCUUCGCCCUCAAGAUUUGGCGGCAUUACCUCUACGGGGUUCGUUGUACCAUUUACACGGACCACAAGAGUUUGAGGUACCUCAUGGAUCGGCCGAAUCUGAACAUCAGGCAUCUUCGGUGGUUGGAUGUGGUGAAGGAUUGUGAUUGCGAGAUCCUUUAUUACCCGGGGAAGGCCAACGUGGUGGCCGAUGCGCUUAGCCGUAAGGCGGCACCGAUCAGGGAUAUGUGUAUGAGGAUAACGAUGGUGACUCCACUGUUAGAGCAGAUUCGGGAAGCUCAUCAGGAGGCUAUGAAGGAGGAGCAUCGGAAGACUGAGCGAAUAGUAGGUCAAGUCACCUCUUUCGAUUAAGAUAGCCGGGGGUUAUUGACACUACACCGUAGGGUGUGGGUGCCGUAUCAUGGAGGCGUGCGCUAGAUCUUGAUGGGGGNAGCCGAGGACUAUUGACACUACACCGUAGGGUGUGGGUGCCGUAUCACGGAGGCAUGCGCCAGAUCUUGAUGGAGGAGGCACACACAUCCCGAUUCUCUAUUCAUCCAGGGGCGACGGAGAUGUAUCGGGAUCUUCGUCUAGAUUAUUGGUGGCCCUGCAUGAAGCGGGAUGUGGCGUGGUACGUCGAGCGGUGUUUGACCUAUAUGAAGGUCAAGGCCAUGAAUCAGAGACCGCACGGCAAGAUGCAGCCGUUGGAUAUCCCGUUGUGGAAAUGGGAGGAUAUUACGAUGAAUUUUAUCACAAAGCUUCCCCGGACGGCGCGUGGAGUAGAUUCGAUUUGGGUCAUCGUGGAUCGGUUGACCAAGAGCGCCCAUUUUAUUCCGAUUCAGGAGAGUAUCUCGGCCAAAAAAUUGGCCGAUAUCUAUAUCAAGGAGAUAGUGGCGCGGCACGAGGUGCCAGUGUCAGUGAUAUCAGAUCGAGAUGUGCGGUUCACUUCCAAGUUUUGGAAGAAGCUUCAUGAUGAGUUGGGCACUCGUCUGCAUUUUAGCACCGCCUUUCACCCACAGACGGAUGGUCAGAGCGAGCAAACCAUCCAAACGUUGGAGGACAUGUUGCGGGCAUGCGUGCUAGACUUCGGUGGUAGUUGGGAUACCUAUCUUCUCUUGGCUGAGUUCUUGUACAAAAACAGCUACCACGCGAGUAUCGACCGUCCCCCAUUCGAGAUGUUGUACGGAAGGAGGUGCAGGACCCCGAUAUGUUGGGGUGAAGUUGGUCAGAGGGUCAUGGGGAGCACCGAGGUGGUGCUCAAGACGACCGAGAGAAUCCAGCAGGUUUGAAGCAGGCUUCAGACUGCGCAGAGUCGACAGAAAAGUUAUGCCGACAAGCGUCGAUCAGACCUGGAGUUCCAUGUCGGGGAUAUGGUUCUCUUGAAAGUGUCGCCUUGGAAAGGCAUCAUUCGAUUCAGGAAGCGGGGCAAGUUGGGCCCGAUAUUCUUUGGCCCGUUCAGGGUUGUAGCCCGGGUGGGCAAGGUGGCAUAUAGGCUGGAUCUGCCAGCCGAACUCAACCAGAUCCACAGCACCUUCCACAUAUCUCAAUUGCGGAAGUGUUUGGUAGACGACUCAGCAGUGGUGCCUUUGGAGGAUAUUUAGGUCGAUGACAGCCUGAAUUAUAUCGAGCGGCAUGUGGCAAUCCUUGACAGGAAGUUGAAGGAUCUAAGGAACAAGAGGGUGGAACUUGUAAAGGUACAAUGGCAGCACCGGAAGGGAUCAGAGUGGACUUGGGAGCCGGUGGAAGAAAUGAUGGAGCACUACCCCGAGCUGUUUCAGGAUCGAGCAGCAGACUUCGAGGACGAAGUCUAAAAUAAGUGGGGGAGAUUUGUAGCACCUGGUUUCUGGUACGUACUCCUUGUGUAUAAUAUUUUAAUUUUGUGCAUUUUUGCCUUGGACUCGGCGAGUUGAAGGACCAACUCGCCGAGUAGGAGCGGCAUAAGGCGCGGGGUUUGAACUUUGGACUCGGCGAGUCGGUCCCCGGACUCGGCGAGUAGACCCUUUUUGGACAAAAACCCUAAUCCGGGUGUUUGCACCCUAUUUAAACACUCUAUCUUGGCCUCCUUCGUCCCUAACACUUCCAGAGAGUUGUAGAAAGAAACCCUAGCCCCCAUAUUGUUCUUGAGAGUGAUUUUGGCUUUGUGGACAAGGUUUGGAGCUUAGAGGAAGGAAGAGGAGGUUGCAGUGUGCAAGGAGGGUAGGUAGAUCCGGAAUCUACACUUUGAGAAGCUUCCAUUCAAGUAGAAAAGUUCUUACCUGGAUCACUAGUUCAUUAGAUCCCCGUUUGUCCCAAAUUAGUGGUUUUCAAGCCCUAAAACCUCAAACUCCAUGUAUUUAUGCUCUAAGUUCUGAAAGGACUUCGGAUUGGGAUCUUAUGGACAUCUUAGAAGUAUAAAGUCUCUGUGGUUGGAGUUAUUAAGGCCCCUAUUGAGUGUAUGACCCCUUAAAGAGCUUGGAUUUGCCUUCUUGAGCUUAUAGGCCAUGCAUGCACGUAAAGUUUGCAACUUUACGUGAUAAGCAUGCCCUAGGAGCUUAGAUCUAUGGUUUAGAACCGUUGUAUUUCUCAGAUUUGGUCUGUUUAGGAGGAGAGUUGAAUGGACUCGGCGAGUUCUAUGAAGAUGGUCUUAGACUCGACGAGUUGGAUGAACCACUCGGCGAGUCCUUUGAACAUUGCCUGGAACUCGACGAGUUGUUCUUCAAACUCGACGAGUCAUAUGAAAUUUCACUGAGAAAGAGAGGUUUAAGUGUUGAAGGUCCAACCCUUCGUAUCUGCACGCGAAAUUAGCAAUUUAACGUGUAGCAAUAGUCCUAGAACUCCAAAUCCUCUUAAGGGAUGCUCUGGUGAGGAUUUGGAAGCGAGUAGGAGGACUGCUCGUGGGACUCGGCGAGUUGUUCUUGGACUCGGCGAUUCGGUUAUAUAGUCCCGAGUGGUGAGUUAAGGGUGACUCAGUGAGUGGGAAGAGGGACCUGGUGAGUAGGACCAAGUUAGUAGGAGAAGGACUCCGCGAGUAUGUGCCACGACUCGGCAAGUCCAGUCAACUGGAAGUUGACUUUGACCAAGGAGUUGACCUUGGACCUGGGUUGGGUCAGUCAAUUGACUAAGGGUAUUUAUGAGUGGCUAAUCUAUGUUUAUGGAUUUGUAGCCGGAGGAUUACCGGUGCAGCAGCCAGACGUCUAGUAGUCAGACUUUCGGUAGCUACUUUUCGAGGUGAGUUACCUUCCAGUAGCAGUGGGUCUACGACCACAAUGCUGGCCCAUCAGUAGGAGUUGUAUGAUAGAUGUUUGUCUCUGUGAUAUUCAUCUGGGUUUGCUACUACAGGUGUUAUGCUUGUGUGCUAGUAUGAUAUGUUGCUAUGUGAUAUGUGUUAUGAGGUAGCAGUAGGGGGUGAAAUAGUCCCUAGUAUCCGGUCGUAAGGACCGAAAGGGAGGCUAGCACCCAGAUAUGCUAGGCAGUAUCUGGUCGUAAGGACCGAAGGGGAGGCCAGAACCCAGAUAUGCUAGGCAGUAUCCGGUCGUAAGGAUCGAAGGGGUAGGUCGGGCACCCAAAUAUGCCCGGCAGUAUAUGUAUGUUAUGUGAUUAUAUGGUAUCUGGUACAGUGGGGGAACUCACUAAGCUUCGUGCUUACAGUUUUCAGUUUUUGUUUCAGGUACCUCUUCUUCGAAGGGGAAGGAGCUGGCGCGGUAGCGGCCCAUCACACACAUGCCUAGUAUUCCGCACUACGAGACCCUCCUGGGAAUUUGUACUCUGACAUUAUUAUGUUUUAUAAAAAUGUUUUUCAAGACAUGCGAUAACUUUUAUGAAAUGAUAUGAUUGGUGAACGUGUUAAUUCCAAUGUUUGCUAAGUAUAUGUUUUAAAAAUGAAAUUUUUGGCCCGUAUUUUUGGGACGUUACAUGGGAAGAUGGAGCUCAUAGAUCUGGGAUAACAUCAUCCUUUGGGACUCUUUGGAGUUAUAAAAUUCAUAACUUUACCUAAGCAUGCGUAGAUCUAGUGUAGUUUGGUUUUGGAGUCAUUUUGGUCCCAAGAAUGGACCUUUAUGGUGAAAUCUCGUUAUUGAGCUUAGGGUUGCCUCCCUCAGAGCUAUAAGGGUCUCAUAAGCAGUAAAUUCUCGAUUUUGAAUAUCUUAAUGGGUUCAUGCAUGAGAUCUAUCCCUUUUCAUGGAAGUAGAACAUUAUUUUUGGAGUUUGGGCUUUUUUAGGCCAAGUAAAGUCACCAAGUCAGUGACUUUAUGGAUUAAGACGUGGAAAAGGACCAGGAUCUAUGAUUGUAGCUUCUGAAAUGAAGUAUUAAGCACUUAAUGAGAAAUGGACUUAACAGGAGGUUUACGCUGAGUGUACGUAAAGGUACGCCCAACGUACGCACCACAUAAUCAGUACGCCUAGCGUACGUGGAUGUACGCCCCGCGUACUCUGUUAGUUGGGCCUUGUGCUUUUGGGCAAUGGUUUGGACCAUGCUUUGGGUCUUUGGGCCUUAGUAGGCCAUCAGAAGUCAAAUAAUUUAGGCCAAGAAUAUGUUUGGGCUUAGGGUAAGGCCCAUUACAGGGAUUGGGCCCAAUUGAGCAAAUUGGGCCAUUAGUGGACCACUAGUGGGCUUGGAAAGCCUACUUAGUGUUGGGUUUUGUUUUUAGAAUUAGGCCUUAGUUUUGGAUCAUAUUGGGCCAGGGGUAAAAUGGUUAUUUUACCCCAUGCAUGGAUUAAGGAUUAUGGUAAGGGGCCCAAUUGUUAAUUGGGUAUAUUGAUCGGUAUUAAUGGUUCAGGAAGUAGGCGAGGCAGCAGCUAAGGAUUUCUUUAGGAAGAUUUUGUAUUCAAGGUGAGUUUUCUCACAAUACCAAUGGGUCUAAGGCAGCAAGGCCGACCCAUUUUACGAUAGUUGGUAUACUUGCUAUAUAGAGGUGUGUGGAUUUGUUAUGCAUUGAUAUGUGGUAGAGAUAGCUUCUAUAGCUAGUGGUAGAGAUAGCCUUCAGGGCUAAUGGUAGAGAUAGCCUUUGGGGCUAGUGGUAGAGAUUGCCUUUGUGGCUAAGGGUAGAGAUAGUCUUUAUGGCUGAUGGUAGAGAUAGCUUUAUAGCUAAUUGAUAUGCAUUAUGUGGUAGAGGUAGCUUUAUAGCUAUUUGAGAUGUGUUAUGUGGUUGAGGUAGCUUUUAUAGCUAAUAUGUUAUGUGGUUUGUGUGUGGGGUAUGCUCUGGGGAACUCACUAAGCUUCGUGCUUACAGGUUUGUUUAUGGUUUCAGAUACUUCAGAUUCCAAUGGCAAGGGCAAGGCGUGAUGGCGCGACGUGCACUCUCUCGCUGACACUUUAUGGGACACUUUGAUGUUUGGAAUAAAAGUUGUAUUGACUUAUGUUUUGAAAAUAGUUAUAACUGGAUUUCUUAAUGUAUCAGAAUAUUAUUGCUUAUUCUAAAAUUUCAAAUUUUACAUUGNNNNNNNNNNNNNNNNNNNNNNNNNNNNNNNNNNNNNNNNNNNNNNNNNNNNNNNNNNNNNNNNNNNNNNNNNNNUAGGAAAAUAAAAAAUACAUAAUAAUUAUGAAAAGGUUGAGUUGUUGGUCAAACUAAAAACCAUUUAACAGACCGAUUCAACUAAAAAAAACGAUUUAAAAAAAUUAAUGUUAAUAAAGUUCAACCAAAUUAAAUAUUACUGUUACAAUUAGUUGUCAUUUCGUUGUAAUUAAAUGAUACGUAGUUUAUAUGUAAAAGAAAUUUAAAUUUUCGACCAAAUGUUAAAAACAGAUAAAUUCAAGGACUACAUCUAAACGAAUAGCUGAAAUAAGUAGUUUAACAACCCCAUGGUUCAAACCAUUUCAAAGCUACCCUCCCUCUCUCUAAGGACCUAAAAUAUCUCCCGCCGCUGGCAAAAAUGAUCGAACCUUAAUCAAGGUCGUCGGUGACUCCAGUGGAGCUUCAUAUAACCUGAAUGUUAGUUUUCUUUCCAGAUCUUUGAAUCCGAACAUAAAAAAUCUAUUAAAAGCCAUUGCGAUCGCAUCUAGACCGUCAAAUCGAGCACUUGAUGGACUGUAAGGCGCUACCGGAGGCAGAGGCGGGGACGCUUUGUGAUCAGGUGAGGGAUAUUUUAGUGGAAGAGUGGAACGUACAACCUGUCAAAUGUCUGGUGACUGUGUGUGGAGACAUACAUGGAUAGUUCCACGACUUAGUCGAGCUCUUUCGUAUAGGCGACAGUGCUUCUGAUACUAAUUAUCUGUUAAAUUUAUAGGAGACUAUGUUGGUUAGUACUGUAAUUUUGACAACUAAAUGCAUUAGAUAUUGUUGUGUGUGGAGCAGAUAUUGUUGAUUAGGUCAACUUUGAUUAGUAAUUAUGGCUAGUGUAAUUUAACUUGCUAUAGAAUGAUGAAGAUGAUUGUGGUUGAAUCUGCUUCGUUGUUGAGUAUGUUCUUAUUUGAUUCAUGCAGAUCGAGGUUACUACUCGGUGGAGACUGUUUCACUUCUAGUGGCAUUGAAAAUUCGUUAUAGAGAUAUGAUUACGAUUCUUAGAGGAAACCGUGAGAGCAGUCAAAUAACACAAGUGUGAGAUUUCGUUUCUUUACCUUUCAACUCCGUUGCAACUAGAAAGUUAAUUUUUUUACCUAUUAGAUUGUCAAGAUAGAUAUUUUCUUGUGUUUUGUGGUAAUUAACAUCCCAACCACUUGCCUCAUACAAUUGAUAACAUGGCAAGAUUUAUGACAUAGAAAUGUAAAUCCAUAUCAACCAAGAUGAAUAAUAAGUGUAGCACCUGGUUCCUGGUAUGUAAAAUUUAUCUAAGUAUUUUGCAUUUUUAGCCUUGGACUUGGCGAGUUGCAGGCCUGACUCGCCGAGUAGAGACGGGAGUUGGAACACGUUUAAGUUGGCGACUCGGCGAGUCCCCGCUGUCUGAUGAAACCCUAAUUUCAAGGGUUUGCAGCCUAUUUAAACCAUCAUGUGUGCCCCCAAGCUCGCCCCCUUAACCUUCAGAGCCCCCUAUAUCGUUCUAACAUCGUUCCUUGUGAGAUUGAAGUGCCUUGGUGUGUUUUCUUGAAGACUUUGAGAGAGAAAGGAGAGUAGAUCAAGUGGAGAAGAAGGAGGUCGGACAUCUUGGUGUUAUUUCAAAGAUUUCCUUGAGGUAUAACUCAGUUUCCCCCUGUUUUCAUGCUUAUAGUCCCUUAGAGCUCCAUGAUAGUCCUUCUUGAGCCAUUUCCAAGCUUGGUUAUGAAUUACGGUUUGUGAUAAGUUGAUUAACCUUUAGAUCUAGGCAUGAUUGAGCUCCAUGAGCUCGGAUCUACUGCCUUUAUGGAGCCAUAUUGCAUGAAAGCCCUAGAUCUACUCUUUUAGUGCAUUUUGAGCCCUAAAACCUUCAUUGGUGUUUAUUUACAUGUAAAGUUGGAAACUUUACGUGUUAAUCAAGCCCUAAGAACCCAUAUCUAUGUAUGGCAUGAGCUGGAUUCAAGCAAAAUCGAGUAUAUAGUACUUGCAUGUGAAAGACUCGGCGAGUCGUUCAUCGGACUCGGCGAGUCGAGUCGCGAGUCCCCGAGUUUUCCCCUUUUCNNNNNNNNNNNNNNNNNNNNNNNNNNNNNNNNNNNNNNNNNNNNNNNNNNNNNNNNNNNNNNNNNNNNNNNNNNNNNNNNNNNNNNNNNNNNNNNNNNNNNNNNNNNNNNNNNNNNNUUCUUGUCUCAAGAACAACUCGGCGAGUUGUUCAUACAACUCGGCGAGUCACAGCUUAGAGUGUUCUUCGGAUGAAGGUGAACUCGGCGAGUUGUUCAUACAACUCGGCGAGUAGGAUGAAGGACUUUUGGACUUAGGUUUAGAAGGAAAACUCGUCGAGUCAAUGCCUAACUUUACGAGUAGAGACGGGAUUAUGGUCAAUCGAAUGGAUAGGGACUCGACGAGUUGGCGAGCUAACUCGGUGAGUCGGGUCAACUGGAAGUUGACUUUGACUUUAACUCGUAGUUUGGUUAAGGGUAAAUGGUCAUUUUACCCUGAGGUCGGUUAGCAGUUUUUGACUUAGUGUUUUGUGGGAAUUAUAGCCAGAGGAUUUCCGGGGCAGUAGCAGCAGUAGACAGUCAGUUCCCACGCAGAUCAGCAGCUACUUUGAGGUGAGUUACCUUCCAGUAGCGGUGGGUCUACGGCCACAAUGCCGGCCCACCAGUAGGAGUUGUAUGUUGGAUGAUUGUCUUUGUGAUAUCAUCUAGGUUUUCUACUACCUUAUAUGUUAUAUGCUGGCAUGAUAUGUAUAUGUGAUAGUAGAAGAGUUCGGUUGUUAGGACCGAAGGGUAGGUUAGACACCCCAGAUAUGUCUAACAGUAUGUGAUGAUAUGUUUAUAUGCUGGCAUGAAAUGUUGUAUGCGAUAGUGGUAGUAGGAGGGGAAUAGUCCCCAAGUUCGUUCGUUAGGACUGAAGGAUAGAUCGGACGCCCCAUAUAUGUCUGAUAAUAUGUUAUGUUAUGAUAUAUGUGAUAGUAGCAGCAGGGGUGAAAUAGUCCCUGAGGAUCGGUUGUUAGGCCCGAUGGGUAGUCAGCCCCCNCAGAAUAGCUUGACACGGGUAGGUCGACACCCCAGAAUGGUCAUACCGGGUAGGUCGGGCACCCCAGAAUUGCCCGGCAGUAUGUAUGAUAUGUGAUUGUAUGGUAUGUGGUAUGAUGAGGGAACUCACUAAGCUUCGUGCUUAUAGUUUUUAGUUUUGGUUUCAGGUACCUCUUCUUCGAAGGGGAAGGAGCUGGCACGGUAGCGGCACAUCACAUACAUGCUUUGUAUUCCGCACUAUGAGAUUUUCUUGGGGAUUUGUACUCUGACGUUAUUAUAUUCUAUACAUUGGUUUCCAGACACACGACAUCUUUUAUGAAAUGAUAUGAUCGGUGUAUGUUUAAUUUCUAAUGUUUUGCUAAGUAUAUGUUUUAAAAAUGAAAUUUUUGGCUCGUAUUUUUGGGACGUUACAAUAAGAAUAUGUCACAAGCCUUGAUUCCAUUUAACAUGCUAUGGUUAGUGUUACUGCAAAUUGUGAUUUGUCUUGCACAAAUUCUCUUGUUGAAUAUGGAAGUGUAUAGGAAACAAGUGUGCUUCUAAAAUGAUCUACAAAUUUUGAACAAUGCAAGGAAUUCCCUAACUUUCAGGUAUGGAUUUUAUGACGAGUGAUUGAGGAAGUAUGGAAAUGCCAAUGUGUGGAAACAUUUUACUGACCUUUUCGAUUAUCUACCUCUCACUGCCCUUAUUGAAAUACAGAUAUGCAAAAUCACCCACUUUUCUUACCAUAUUUAACUUGCAUUUACUUAGUAUGAAUAUGAACUAUGAUUGUAGGUUUUUUGUAUGCGUGGUGGGUUGUCUCCUUCUUUGUAUACACUUGAUAACAUUUGUGCUUUAGAUCGCAUACAAGAGGUCAGUUAGUGUAUAAAGUAUAAACCUUAUCAGAACAUAAAGAAGAGCAAAAAAAAAAGUUGAAAUUAAUUUUGUAAUGUUACUUUUUCAGGUUCCUCAUGAAGGGCUAAUGUGUGAUCUUUUAUGGUCUGACCCUGAUGACCGAUGUGGUUGGGGAAUCUCUCCUCGUGGUGUUGGGUACACAUUUGGACAAGAUAUAGUUGCACAAUUUAACCACACAAAUGACCUCACACUUAUUUCUAGAGCUCAUCAGCUUGCCAUGGAAGGUUACGAUUGGUCUCAGGUUUGUUUGCAAACAUUAAACAUUUAAUAUAAUAGCAAUCUACUUUCUAAAAAAAACUAACUUUUUUUUUGUUUGAUUGUUUCAGGAAAAUAAUGAUGUAAAUAUAUUCAGUGCACCAAACUAUUGCUACAGAUGUGGAAACAUGGUUGUAAUACUUGAAAUUGGAGAAAAGAUGGACCAAAACUUCUUACAAUUUGACCCUUCCCCUCGCUAGGUUGAGCCCGACACUACAUGCAAAACCCCGAGUUACUUCUUGUAAAUGGUUUUUGUGAUUUCAAGACAAAUUAAAACCAUUGUUUGCUCCUUGUUCCAUUUCAGAUUAUUUGUUACUUUUUUUUCUAUCAAAAACUGGAGAGAUUAUUAAUUUAUGUGUUUUGUCAUGUCCUGAGCUUUCGAAGAUUUUGAGCUAUCUCUGUAAGAAGGUCAGCUCUUUCAUCACCCUUUUGGAGUGCCAUUCCAGUGUGCUUCAAAUAUCCACUAUCUGAUUCCAUCACACUCAUUCUUUCCUUAAUCAAAGACAUCUCUCUUUCCAAGCUCGCCUUCUUUUCUUCUUCUAUUAAUCAAAAUUUCAAAAUUAGCAGGAUAAGUUGUUAAUUUUAUUUAGGCAGUGUAAAAGAUUGGUUUUAGUGUUAAAAUACACAUACCUAUAUCUUUGUCAUAACUAACACCUGUAUCAUCUGUAUUCGAAUGUAUAAGAUUUUCCAAGUUAUUCAACAUCCCAGAAAGAUGAAAUCUCUCACUUUCAAAAUCAUCACGAUCACGAGCAAAUCUCUCGAUAUCUUCCUUGUUAAUUUCUCCAAAUUUCUCUUUAUAAAUCUGAAGCUCCUUUUCCAUCAUUUUGAUAUCUUUCUCCUUCUGAAUAAGCAUAUCCUUAAGUAUCUGAAUGGCUUCUUGAUCAUACUCUGCUUGUUCUUCCAUCAUUCUCUGAUACUGCAAUGCCUCCAUUUCAAUUGAAGCUUUCUCAGUUUGCAAUCGAGUAAUCAUCGCCAUGGAAUUGUUAGCUGCAACAGCUGAAGCGCUUCGUUCUUCAUUAAGUUCUUGAUACAAAUCUGUGAGUAUUUUUCUGUCUGCACGGACUUGUUUUUUGAGAUGAUGAACAAUGGAAAUGGAAUCCCCUUCUUCGGGCCCCUCAUCAUCGGAAAGGAAAUCGAGUUUUUCUAAUGGAAGUUUUUUGGGUAGUAGUUUGUUGGCAAAUCUUGGACUGUUGACAAUAACUUCUGCAAGUGGGACCCCAAAGAACUUGUUUCCUUUUGGGGUUUUCAAAGAUUCAUCAUUUAGUUCAUCAGAAUCGGGUAAUAGUGGAUUUGAUGCGGAUUUCAUCUCCUCUUUACCUAUUACAAACAUCAUAUAGAUAAGAUCACUAACUUAAAAUAUUAGACCAUAAAAGGAACUCACCUUUAGACUCCUUAUUCGAUCCUUUGUUAUCUUUAGCAGCAUCUACUUCAUUAUCCGAUGUAAAGUUAGGCGGUACAUACCUUGCAUGAGGCAACUCCAUAUUCUUGGCAUCAUCAUUCCGCCAUCCCAUUGGCGUCAAAGGCGCUCUAGGGGUCAAAACAGACGUCCCGUGUAAAUGCGCAGGUGUCCUAACAAAAGCUUUUGAAGGAGUCCUUGUAGUAAAAGGCUCACCACAACAACAACACUUGCUCAUCAUCUCCCCAUCCUUACUACCACCACCAUUAUUCUCAUUCGUCGCUUUUGUUUUCACCGGUUUCAGAUUCUUCGGUGUUGACAUAUUGUUGUCAUCGUCUUUUUGUUGAUCCUUAGGGGCAACCGUGUCUUUUUGCUCAACGGGUUUCUUGAUCUCAUCAAAAUCCGCUUCUUUAUCUGUUGCGAAUGAGAGGAGACACGCUUCGCACAUGUUUCGGAUAUCAGAUAAUUUUCGAUGGACGUGACAAUAGGCUAAGGAGGAGAUGUCUUUUUUGUGGGAUUCACAUAUGGAGUUGUUGUAGAAGGUGCUAGGGUUGUUGCCCACGAGGGAUUGGUCAAUUCGUGUACACAAAACACACGGCGGGUCCAGUUCGAACAUCAUGGCGAAUUUGUUGGACAUAAAUGCGAGAAACCGGUCGAUGAAAAGGGAGGCUAUUAGUAACCAUUCGAGCAUGGCUCCAACCACGAAAUGUGGGAAUUCACCUAGUUCUUCCUCCACGAACAUCCGAAAUGUUCUUUUUGAUACUGACAUUUUCACGUAAAAAAACAAAUACAAAUCGAAUUGAUGGAAAAAUGGUGAAAUGGUGAAAUGAACAAUUGUUAAGAAAGUAAUGAGAUCGACUCGUUUUUCUCUGGAUUUUUUAGCUAGAGAGAAGGUAUGUUUGUGUGAUACUAAAUUAACAAGGUUACUUUGAAGUGAUUAGCGACUAAAAGACAAUCCCAAUGUUGUAGGUUAGUUGAAUGUUUUUACCUAAAUUAAUGGUUAACCAUGCAAUUUUCGGAGUUUCUCUAAAACAUGGGUUUAUUUUCAAAAAGAUUUGUAAUAUUUGGUUAGUUACAAUUUCUUUGUAAGAAUUAGUCUUCUUUGACCAAAAAAAGGAAAAAGAAAAGAAUGAUGCGUAAAAAAUGGGUCUCACAAAAAUUUAUUUUAUGUCCUUGUAACUUAUAAAAUAUUUUUUUUACAUAAUUUCCUUAUUUAGAAACACGUCGAUAUCUUUAAUGUGAUUCCAGUAUUGAUGGAAAUUCUAAUACCAGAGUUAAAUAUGAUACAUAAUUUUGGUCACGUAAUUUUAGUGAUAUUACACAUAAAUAUAAUCAGGGCGUGAAAUGAAAUUAAGAAAAUGAGGUUGUAAAAACUAAAAAGGAUUUUUUUUCAUAAAUCAAAACACAAAAUACAACAUAAAAUAUGUAAACAAGUGGUGACUGGUGAGAACCGUUUCCUUUUUUGUGACAAACACCCAUUUUACACGGCAAUUUGCAACAGAUCCAUUUUUGUGAAAAUAACCAAAUCAACAGAAAAGCAAAUUCAGACCUCUGCACUACAAAAUUUCAAAAACAUAUUCAACAGAAAAGCAAAUUCCGACGUCGUUUCUUUGCAUCCUUUGUUAGGUCGCAACAAAUAAUGUACAUAACAAUAUCCAUAUAAUUAUAAAUAUCACAUUUUUUUAUAUAAUGACUUGGUAUCAUAUUUAAUAAAAAUUAGAGUUUUAGCUAAUUAACCAGAGAAAAAGACAUAACAUCUACAAAAGUAAAUUAAUAAAGCAAAUGUUCAAACAUGUUCAAUGGAGAUUUAUUUUGUUAGCUAAAAAUAAAAUAUAAAACGUCAGUAGCUAUCACGCAUUUUUCAAUUAGUAGUCAAUGGCACACUACUUGAAGUCUUGUGCCCCUGAACCUGAAAAUGUAACCAUUUUUAUUUUCAAAAAUCAAAAUCUAUUAACCAACAUUGUUUAUAAAUAAUAAACAUUAGUUAAUUACAAUUAACUGUGUAAAUAAUAUAGCAAUUAUUAUUAAAUUUCAAAACAGUUUAAUAAACUCUUUUACGUACCUUUAUCAAACAAGCAGGGAUUUUGAUUAAACCAUGAAGUAAAAUAUCAACCUUCUCCAGUAUGUGUUCUGGAACUGGUGUAAUCAAACACAUAAUCUUUCUUGACAUGUCUACCUCUGUCACAAUUCCUGAAUCCAUAAUGAACAAUUUCAGCACUAUUUAUUAAUUAUUAAUGAGAACCAAAUAUAAAGUAUGAAGUAUCAUACCAAGGCCAACACAGCAGGGUGAAUUUUGACAACUUAAAGAGCUAUCAGCCAAUGCGACAAUACUACAAUUUGAUUUGUAGAAUGCUUCCAUAUCCUAAAAAUCCCAACUAUAAGUAAUUCAAGAAAAAUGGAAGGAUUACAUGAACGAAAACUGUUUAUCCAGUUUCAAGAUUGUUAAUUCACCUGGGAAUGUAGUUGCUUGAUUGUUACAGAGGACAUGAGAAUUUCAUAAGGAGCGUGUACAGCUAAUGCAUGAUCAAGCUCCUGGAUUGUGGUUAAACUCAUGUUAAUUGGGAAGCAUUUUCUGAAAUAAGCCAGCAAUCGAAGAUCACGAAGAAGCCGCGCAUCAUCCUGUGAUUGCACCCUGGGUAAACAAUAAGUCAAUAAACAUAUACAAUCUCAUUUUCAUAAGGUCAAGUAUUGAUUAUUAGAAAUAGAAAUAGAAAUAUGAAAUAUGCCUACGAUUUCUUUGAGGAAUCCUGGCGAUUUGAAUUGAUAUCAAUUAGGGUUACUUCGUGUGAAGCCGGAUCUGGUAACCAAAAUGCUCCAGUUGGUAGGUUCUUACUUUCAGUAGGGACAUGGACUUUGAUCACUUGCGUAGGAGCAAUAUGUUUUAGCAUGUUCAUGAGUAGAUUAAGUCCAUAACCUUCUACCCAACCAGGAGUAUUGACAACCAGGGGAACACCAAUUUUGAGAUGUUCACCCCUGAUGGUUUGGUGAUAGUAAUCAUACAGUUCGUGUAUGUAUUUCAGAUACGUCUGUGGAUCCUUUCUUGGGGAUAUAUCACCAAAGAAGAAGCAUCUGCAGAGGUUUAGAACAUGUAAAGAGCGUCGUUAAAGUUAAAACAGGACAACGGUUUACGAUAACUAGAGAAAAAUGGAGACUCUCGAAAGCAUUGAAGAUAAAUACCUCUCAGGCGUUUUCAAGCAUGGAAUCGCCAGAUCUGGAAUUAAGAAAGAGACAAGUCGUUAAUGCCGAUUCAAUGAACAAUUCAGAUGUGUAGAAUGUAGAUUAUCAUGCAGUUGAAGUAAUCAAAUCACAAAAAUAUGUAAGGAUUGAUGAAAACCUGGAGUUAUCUUGUCAGCCAGAGUAAGUGAUAAGCAUCCUGGAGGUGUAAAUUCAGCUUGACCUACGUCUGUAUCCAAGUAAGCGACUCUCCUGUAUCUGUAUGAACAAAAAUGGAAACAGAUUAAACAACCUAUACUAUACAUACAGCUUUAAAAAAAUAUCUAAUCUCAUCGAAAUGGGUAUGAUUGUAAGAGUAUACCGAUGGAUAAGAACAUUGAGAAGAUGACGAGAGAAGGUUGUUUUGCCGCUGUUUGGAGGGCCGCAGAUGACGCAAAUCGGAGGCGGACAAGUGAUUGAAUCAUAAGCAACGACGUCCGCUGCUUCCUCCCACUCUUCCGGUAUGAAUACUUGAGCCUCAUCGGCUAAUUUUUCCGGUGAUGAAUCGAUCGCCAUUAACGUUGCUUCCUCUUUCUGUGUUUUCUCUGUUUGUGUUUGUGUGUGUACGGGUUUAUAUAUAUGAGAGAGAGAGAUAGAUGGAGGGAGAAACGCUUUUUAUGUGAGAGAAUAUUUGUUCAGAAGCUCAGAGCAGUAGUACGUUCUGGUAUACAUGCAUGUUGGCAGUUUCCCUCAAACAUUUUUUGACUCUCCUUAUUUAUAUGCAACUAUCAGAAACGUAUGCAAAAUUGGCAAAAGUUGUAUAGCCUGCAAAAAAUUUGUAAGUUGAUUCGACUUCAAAUUUGGAUCAUCUUUUCAGUAUUAUUAAUUACGUUUGUCCUAUUUGCAACAAGUAUUUAAAAAGGAUAAGGUGAUAUAUUUUUCGAUUUAUAUAUAUUGUUAUUGAGUUUUUUUUUUGUCUAUAUCUACCCCUUCAACUUGUUAAACUAUACACAUUUAGUCUUUAUGACCGAUUACUCGAGGAUAAUCGGGAAAAAUGAUUUAAUAGGAUAAUAUAUUUUUCAUUUUGUACACAUUCAAUCAUUAAUAUUUUUGUACAUAUUUAGUCCUCAACAUUUUAGGGUUUAGGUCAUUUUUGGUCACUUAACUUUUGGUUUUGUGCUCAUUUGGUCACUUAACUCUUUUUAAGUUCUAAAAGGUCAUCAAACUUUUAGCUUUGUGCUCAUUUAGUCACUUAACUUUUGUUUUUAAAAUUGUGUUCGUUUAUUCACUAAAUUUUUAAAUUUUUUUUAAAGUUUAAUGACUAAAUGAGCACAAUUUUAAAAGUUAGGUGAGUAAAUGAGCACAAAUCUAAAAGUUGGGUGACCAAAAUAUGACCAAAUCAAAAGUUAAGUGACUAAAUGAGCACAAAAUCAAAAGUUUAAUGAUCUUUUAAAACUUAAAAUAGUUAAGUGACCAAAUGAGGAAAAAACCAAAAGUUAAGUGACAAAAAAUGACAUAAACCCAACAUUUUAUUGUUUCAAAAUAAGUUUUUUUACUCAUUCUGUACUUAUGAAUGAUUACUUUAGGUUUUUCUCACGACAUCUUACGUGGGACAAUCAUAGGUGUUUGGGGUUUGUUGAUGCUUAUGUUCAACGCGAUCUCGACUGUUUGGUUGCAUAGGUCUUGUGGUUUGGCUUAAGUCUUGUAUUCUGAACGUCGUAACUUCUUCAUACGAUAUCAGAUUUUCACGAUAUUUAUAUCUACGUGUUCAUUUUUUCAUUAAGAUUACUCCCAUUAAAAUGUAAUAUAUUUUUAUUUACGAUUUUAAAAAUAAAUAAAAAACAUCCAUACAUGCAUUCAUAAAAAGCGAAUGGACAUGUGCGGACGCAUGAAUACGUAGUAGGUGUUGUCGAGAUUAAAUAAGUGUUGCUGAUACAUGAAAAAUAGGUAUACACAAAAAAAAUCGAAAAUUUUACCACUGUGGACAGAAAAAAUGGGUGUUGCUAGUGGAACACCAGGACCAGGCUAAAUCCCUCAUGCGUAUGGAUAUAAAAAUCAUAAGUAAAAAUAUAUUAUUUUUUAAUGGGAGUAAUCUAAAUAAAAAUUGUAGUAGACUAAAAUACGAACACACAAAUAUAAAGAUUGUUCGCAUGGAUAUAAAGAUAGUUAAAAUCCGAGAUCGUAUGAACAAGUUAUGAUGUUCAGAAUACAUGACCAAAAUAACCAAGUAGUCGAGAUCGCGAUGGACAUAAGCAUCAAAAUGCCCAAACACCUCAUUAAUGAAUGUCCCACGUAAGAUUUCGUGAGAAAAACCUAAAUAAAUCAUUCAUAAGUACUGAAUGGGUACAAAAACAAAAUUAACUUAUUUUGCAAAAAAAAAAAAUAUUAAAGACUAAAUGUAUACAAAAUGAGAAAUAUAUUACCUGUUAAGUAAUUUUUACCGGCUAACCUAAAGUAGCCGGUUAUAAUGACUGAAUGUGUACAGUUUAACAAGUUGAAGUGGUAAAUGAGGAUAAAAAAAACUCAGUGACCAAAUAUGUAUAAAUCGAAAAAUACAUUACCCUUUUAAGUCAUUAUCCUAUUUAAAAUUUAACUGCAAAUAAUUAAACUAACAGGUUUGUUCAUAAAGAAAAAAAAAACAAAAUUAGCAAUUUUANNNNNNNNNNNNNNNNNNNNNNNNNNNNNNNNNNNNNNNNNNNNNNNNNNNNNNNNNNNNNNNNNNNACACACACACACACACACACACACACACACAUAUAUAUAUAUAUAUAUAUAUAUAUAUUCACAUAUAAUCAUCGGUUUUAUAAUGAAAAUAUUGUGAAAACAUGCUGCGAAAUUAUCUCUAUGUUUUUAUGUUACUUUUUUUUUUCAUUUUUAUUUAAUUUUGUCUUUAGAAAAUAUUUCUGAAUGUAACGCUCUGUUUCUCGUAUUAUAAUGUUUUUUAUUCCAAAAAUUGUUUUUGAAGCUCUCUAAAAAACCUUCAAAAAAUAUUCAUACAAAAUUAUGAUUUUGAUAUGAAUAAUUUUGGCAGCUUGAAAGAAAAGCUUGGAGUAUAUUUUUCUUUGUGGGGAUCAUACAAAAACAUAUUUCACAGUAAAUGAUUUUGAUAUGAAUAAUUGAGAAAUUGUUGAUCAUUUUUGCCAUUAGUAAAAAGCAUGAUUAGGACAAAAUACCAUAUAAUAAAAUGAUUUUUAGGUAUUAUCCAUAUAAAAAACCAAACAACUUUUUAUUGUUUUUAAACUACACAAAAAAGCUAUGAGCUUGCAUACGUUUGCCUCCAACGUUCUAGAAUAUUAUUUGAUCAAUUUUUUGCGUAAUAAAAUAAAUAGAUACUAAUCAAGUUUUACAUUCACUUUCAUCUAAAGUUUUUUCCUAUUGUUGUGAAAAUAGUAGAUUUGGAAGUUGUUACAAGUUGCGUUUAUGAAAUAGCUCAACUUGUUGAUGUGGUCAAAUAACGUGAUAUAUUUAUUGAAACAUUUUUGUUAAAUAUUAACUAAAGAUCGAAAGUGUAGUUUUGUUCAAAUGCUAUGGAAAAAUAUGUAAAUACCAAAUUGACAAUGGCAAUAUCUAGUUAUUAAAAAAAGGCUUUCUGUAGCAAAUAUACAUGUGACGAGAAUUUAUCGUAGCAAAGAUAGCCCCUAUAACUAAAAGAGGAUUUGAUUCAUUUAUCCACAUAUGAGAGGCCCAUUGGCCCAAGCCAGGGUAAAAAAAAAAGGGGGGGCCUAAAAGAUAUAUGUUGUCCUAUACUAAAAUAAAUGGAAACAAACCUUUUCUAUAUCACUAAACUAAAAACUAUAGAAUGAAAAAUCAUAAACGAUAACUCAAUUUAAAUUGUGUUCCUUCCCUUUAAUGCUAGAUGUCAUGUCAUUUAUAAAUGACAAGCUUUCAAAAACCUAUGAUAUAAUUUAGAUAUAGAGAAUGAUAAACAAUACCAUAUGCAUACUAGGGGCGUGUAUCGAGUGGUUUUAAGGCAAAACCGAACCGUAGGCUGCAAUGUACGGUUUUUGUAUUGUAGAAGCCAUUGAGUGCGGUUUUUCAAUGGUUCGGUUUUGUAGUUUUGAAAUGCGGUUUCAGUUUAUAUAGGUUCAGUGUCAGUUUUAAAUCGAUUCAAGCAUAUGAUGCGUUUUUUAUGUUCACUGGUAUGAUUUUGUUUUUAACCGUAAUGAUCGUGUAUGGAUGUAUGAUUGUAUGGUGCGUUUCCUCACUUUUAAAACCAUGAUUUUGAUGUUAAUUAUUUCAUUAACAACCCAAAGUCCCAAACUCAUUUUUUUGUGUUCAAUUUGCAUAUGCUGGCAUGCAGCCCACGUACUCGCUACACAAAGUCCAAACUCACAGAGAUUUAAACCAUUCUUUAAUUUUAAACCCAACUUUUAAAUAAUAUGUAUAAUUGUAUAUAGUAUAAAUUAGUGAUUUAUGGUUUAUACAUGGGCGGUUUGGUUUUGGAGGACCAAUUUCUAGAUAAAAUCAACACCGCACCAAUAAAUUUGGUUUUUGCAAAAAUAAAAUCCGCACCUUUGGUUCUUGCAUCGAUUUCGAUUAAGGUUUUUUUUUGUGGUUUUAUAGGUUUGGUUUUUGCUCUCUUCCAAAAAAUACUAUUAAGCAAAUAAAAUAUUAACAACAAUGCAUAGACACCACUAAUUUCACUUUCGGCACCACCAUCGUUUCUAUAAUUCUGACUCUGAUUACUCCAUAUGGUAUGAUUUAGUGAGCUAACGAGAGAUUCAUUUCCUAUUCCACCACCAACCAUGUUAUAUCUAUGUUUGCACUAAAACUAAACAUAAGGUUUAAGUUUAACACAUGCCCAUAUCCGUAAUUCUUGAUUCUUGCAGGUAUUAUUUUUUUUAUGGUGAAUUUUUAAUUUCAAAAAUUCUACCCUACGUUGGUCGUAGGAUAGUGUAAUGCCCGGGAUUUGCCAGAUAAUAUUGUCGCUAUUUAUUCAAGUUAUAUUGUGCAUAUAUUGGAUUUUGAGGGUUGGGGCAUACGAUGGGCGUACAAGGUGUACGCACGGCAUACGCAAGUGAGGCGCGGAGCUGAUCAGAUGUAAACCCUAAAUUUUAGGGUUUGCACCCUAUUUAAGCAUCUUAUAACCCUCCAAACCCUUACCCUCUCAGCCUCCAAUGUCCCCAAAGUGUCCAACUCGAACCCUAAACCCCUUGAAUGUAUCUUGAGCUUACUUUGAUCAUUUUGGUGUUAUUUUGGUGGUUUUGAAGAAGAAGGAGCUUGAAGAAGGAGCAAGCGCUUGGAAAGGGCUUGUAGAUCCAGAAGUUUGACAUCAUUUCUGACCCAUUUGAGGUAUAAAACUUUAAACUUGGUCAUUGCAUGCUUAGAUUUAGUUUUGAGGUGUUUUAUGUCACUUUUUGGUCCCAUGCUUGAGGUCUUUUGAGUUUUAGAUGAUUCUGUCCAAAUGAGCUAUCCUUUUUUCGCUCUUGGAGGUGUUUAGAACCAUAAAAAUUAGAUCUUGAUGGUUUAUACUCAACCAUGCAAGUGUUAGAUGGCCACUAAGUGAACUUAUGGACUGAAUGUUUGUCUUAAUCCCCACCCAUGCAUGCAAAAGCAUAAAGUUCAUAACUUUAUGGUUUAGGACGUUGUUAGGAGCCUAGAUCUACGUUCUGGACGUUAGGACUUAAUGGAUUAAGUCAAAAGAAAGAACUUAGGGUGGCUGGCAGGAACGUUGGGCGUACAUCCUGGUACGUUGCGCGUAGCGGGUCAGUUUCCCGCCUCUGGUUAAAGUCGGAGUACGUCGGGCGUACCUGUUAUAUACGUCGCGCAUACUCGUUCAGUGGGCUGUUAUGGGCCGUGGUUGAUGGGCUUAGAAUUUGUGUGCCUCAAAUCCAUAGGUGGAUUGGAACCCUUGGGCCUGGGAUUGGGAUUAUUAUAUUGGGCCAUAAAGCCUAAUUAAUUGGACUUAGACAUUUUAUUAUGAAAGUUGGGCCUUGGGAGGAAAGGGCCCAAUAGGACAAAGCUUAGAGGACCUUUGCUUUAUAUGGUAGAAUUGGGCCUUUGGAGUUAUAUUUGGAUCCAAUAGCUAAUUAGGAAGUUGUUAUGCUUUAGGGAGAGGAGCACCGAGUCAUCCACGUAGUACGGUUCGGCAUUCAUAGUUGAGGUGAUUCUCCCUUCGUAGAAUAUGUGGGUCGAAGGCACCAAGGCCGACCCACUAGUAUUGAUAUAGCUUAAUAAUUAUCUUUUUGAUAAUUAUUAAGGUGGUAUGUAUUAUUUGAUGUUCAUGUGAGAUAUGCAUGAUUUUAUAUGGUAGUGGUAGGGGUGAGAUAGACCCCGUAAUCGGUUGGAAUAAGACUGAAGGGUAGGUCGGGUACCCACAUAUGCCUGACAAGGGUAGGUCGAACACCCAUAUAUGCCUGGCAGGGUAGGUUGAGCACCCAGAUAUGCUCAACAGGGUAGGUCGGGCACCCGAAUAUGCCUGGAAAUAUGUUAUGUUGUAUGUGGUAUGGUGGGGGAAACUCACUAAGCUUUAUGUUUAUCGGUUCAGUUUGUGUUUCAGGUAUCUCCAGCUCGAAGGGGAAAGGGCUGGCUUGAUCACAUCGCAUCACACUAUGAUUUCUGUAUUUAAGAUCUUGGGAUUUAUACUAUGAUGAUGACUUUCUAUGUGCUGUCUUGAUUGUAUAACUAAAACUAUUUCAUGUCCUCAUGGUUUUGAAAACAUUGUUGUUCUUGUCAUGUUUUGAUAAACUAAAAAUGAAAUUUUGGGUCGUAAUUUUGGGGAUGUUACAGAUAGCCCCCUAUGUUGAGCGUAGAAGGAAGUUUAGACGUGGUGAUUAAGUGACCUACGUUGAGCGUAGGUUAAGCUAGGAUGAGCGUAGGUGCGCAACACCAAAACCCUAAUACUUGGGGAUGUGGGCCCUAUUUAAAGUCUCUAACCCCUUGAGGCCCUUUCCAUCAUCAGCCUCCACCCUCUUAAGCAGCCAUCUCAAAAUCUUAGCCAUCUUGUGAGAGUUUUGUGACCUUAGAGUGUUUUAUGUUUGUAUUUGAAGGAGAAGCUUCGUUUGAGAAAGCUCUAGGGAAGCUCCAAGCUUGUGGAUAUGGAAUUUGUGAUGGGUUUUGGCCAUAUGAACAUCCCUAUGUGCACAUGCAANNNNNNNNNNNNNNNNNNNNNNNNNNNNNNNNNNNNNNNNNNNNNNNNNNNNNNNNNNNNNNNNNNNNNNNNNNNNNNNNNNNNNNNNNNNNNNNNNNNNGGACCGAUGGGUAGUCAGCACCCCAGAAUAGCUUGACACAGGUAGUCAACACCCCAGAAUGNCGGUUGUUAGGACCGACGGGUAGUCAGCACCCCAGAAUGGCUUGACACGGGUAGGACGGCACCCCAGAAUGGCCGUACCGGGUAGUCAGGCACCCCAGAAUAGCCUGGCAGAAUGUAUGUUAUGUGUUUGUUUGGUAUGUGGUACGAUGGGGGAACUCACUAAGCUUUGUGCUUACAGUUUACAGUUUUGGUUUCAGGUACCUCUUCGUCAAGGGGGAAGGAGCUGGCGCGGUAGCGGCACAUUAUGCACACACACUGGUUUCCGCAUUUACGAGAUUUCUCUGGGAUUUAUACUCUGAUGUUUCGAUUGGUUGUAUGAUUUGGCUUUUAGACAUGGUUUACGCUGUGAUGUGGUUGAGCAAACAAUGUUUUUAAUUAUUAAUGUUUUCUAAAGUAAUGUUUUAAAAACGAAAUUUUUUGGACGUGAAAAUUGGGUUGUUACAAGUUGGUAUCAGAUCUCUGGUUUGAGGGAUUCGGACACACCUUCGGGGGUGUCUGAACUCAAAUCGAGGGAUUAAAAGAUUUUCCAAAAAGAAAAUGUUUUCUAAAAUUUAGAAAAGAGGUUUGAGGAAGAACGAAGUGUGUGAUGUGCGUGACCGGCCGAGCUCAAGUAAGUAUUCCCCAAAGUACCCAUACAAGUUUAUGCUAUGUUUAUCAGCUUUUGUAGAACAGCAUGCUAGAAUAGGACUAAGGAUCUAGGAGUGAUGCCUUAUGUGCCUGCUUUAUAUGUUUCAGCUGUAUGAGAAAUUGCAUGCUAGUGUUGAGUAGACAGCAAGUAGGAUAGCCUGAUUAGGUUAUGCCUGAUAGUGUUGUAUGCUAGUACAAGUUCCUAUAAGCAGAUAGAGUUGAUUGAGAUUGUUACCCUUGUCUGAAUGUUGCUUGCUUCGUGCUUUUUGGGACUCUGAAUAAUGGGAGUUAGCCAUUAGGUAAAUACGUCACGUCACAUGUGAUCAGGGUUGAAUAAUCUUAGAGUGCCGGAUUUGAUCCUAUUGCACAGCUCUUGUUUGAGUCCAACCGUUGUAGGGACGAGUCUGUUACUCGAAGGAUUAUCUGGGCCUCAUCACAUAUGAUGGUAUUCAGGUAAUGGCUAAUUGGCAUUACAAGGAGGCCUACAACAGCUGAGGACCGGAUGGAGUAGAGUCAUAGAUUUCCCUAGGGCAAGCCUAGGAUGAGUAUAGCGGAGGACAGUAAUAGUGAAAUAGAUCUGGCGGAGUCGAGGCAGUCCUUGAAGAAGGUACGAAUAGAUGUGGAAGGUAGUAUGGGCCCGUACUACUGAAAGCAGAGGAUCCGUAACCGAACCAAGGGAGGCCAAGAUGAGACCAGGGAACUUGUAGUAGAUGUGAUCCCUCAAGAAGUAUUAGUAUCACUAAUAAUUGUUAUUUAUGUAUUGCAGAAUGGUGGUACUUCGAUCGAGGCCGAUAGAUGGCGGUUCAGGAGAGGGGUCAGGUUCGGGAUCAGGUUCCGAGCUGGUAGAUGAGGGACUACACGAGUUCAUCGCGUCAGAGAUCACCAGGGGUAUCCUUGAGUCGACCCCCAUUAUCUUCGGGUCGAUCAAGGAAGGGAUUAUCCAGUUGAUGGAGGAUCGCCUCAGGGCGUUCAGGAGUGACAUGGCAUCUGGCCAGUCGGAAUCUCGCACGCUGUCCUUUAAGGACUUCAGGGGCAGUGGUGCGCCGGAUUUCCACGGGGUGAAAGACCCCAUUGCUGCCAGGCGAUGGAUUGCAGACAUCGAGUCUGCACAGUUGACAAGCUUCUGCCCCGAAGGGUCGAAGGUGAGGUAUGCAACAGGGUGUUUACGAGACCGAGCUCGGGAUUGGUGGGAGUCAGUGGGUGACUCGUUGGGAGCCUCAGCUAUCGAGGCUAUGACCUGGUCGGACUUUGUGACCAGGUUCAGGGCAGAGUUUGCGCCGGCUGUCGAGCUUCAGCAGCUGGCCAGGGAGUUUUUGGACAUGAGGCAGACGACGGAGACUGUGGCGGAGAUCACCGCCAAGUUCCGGGAGAGGGCACUGUUGGUGCCCCAGUAUGCUGGCGAUGAGGACAUGAGGAGGACCCGCUAUCAUGACAUGCUCCGGGCUGAUAUCCGGGAGCACGUUAGUUUUUCAGCUUGCCCCACCUUGGACUCCAUGAUUGCCAGGGCGAGGGAGAGGGAGAUAGAUUUGGAGCACAUCCGGAAACGGAAGUCAGAGGAGGGACAGACAGGAGGGGCUUCGGGGAAGAAGCCCAAGGGAUCAGAUGGUAGGCCGAAAGGCCAGUCAGGACCGAGCCGCUGCAGGAAAUGCGGCAGGCCGCACGAGGGGGCGUGCAGGAUGGGAUCAUCAGGCUGCUACAAGUGCGGCAAGNNNNNNNNNNNNNNNNNNNNNNNNNNNNNNNNNNNNNNNNNNNNNNNNNNNNNNNNNNNNNNNNNNNNNNNNNNNNNNNNNNNNNNNNNNNNNNNNNNNNNNNNNNNNNNNNNNNNNNNNNNNNNNNNNNNNNNNNNNNNNNNNNNNNNNNNNNNNNNNNNNNNNNNNNNNNNNNNNNNNNNNNNNNNNNNNNNNNNNNNNNNNNNNNNNNNNNNNNNNNNNNNNNNNNNNNNNNNNNNNNNNNNNNNNNNNNNNNNNNNNNUGUGUGUGUGUGUGUGUUAGGAUCGUUCCAUGUGAACGGUAUCCCAGUUCAGGUGUUGUUCGACUCGGGUGCUACCCGAUCGUUUGUUUCUCUUGUGCUUAGUAAGAAGUUCACUGGGUCAUCGGGCGUGUUGGAUUGCCCUUUGGAGGUAGAGAUUGCUGACGAGCGAUCGGUGCGAGUGUCAUUAGUGUUCAGGGAUUGUGUUCUGAGGUUAUUCGAGGAGCACUUUUUGGUGGAUUUGGUUCCCAUUCCGUUGCGUGGGAACAAAGUGAUUGUAGGCAUGGAUUGGUUUAUCCCUAAUGGGGUAGUGAUAGAUUGCACACAGCAGCUAAUACGGGUCAGAACCCCAGGUGGGGGAGAGUUAGUGAUACAUGGCGAGAGGCCAUAGCGUGGACCCACAGUCUGUUCGGCAGCGAGGGCUAGAUGAUACCUUCAGCAGGGAUGCGCAAGGUAUAUUGCGUAUGUGAUGGAUACCCAGGAGGCGGGUAAGGUGCCCGUUAGCGAGGUUCCGGUGGUGCGAGAUUUCGCAGAUGUAUUUCCAGAAGAGCUUCCUGGGAUACCUCUGGAGCGACAGGUUGAGUUCAAGAUUGACCUCGUUCCUGGUGCGGCUCCGAUAGCCAAGGCACCGUAUCGGUUGGCUCCUCCUGAGAUGCAAGAGUUGUCUACUCAGCUGCAGGAGCUGUUAGACAAGGGAUUCAUUCGACCGAGCAGUUCACCCUGGGGAGCCCCGAUUUUGUUCGUGAAAAAGAAGGACGGGUCGCAUAGGACGUGUAUAGAUUACCGGGAGCUGAACAAAGUAACGGUGAAGAACCAUUACCCACUCCCGAGGAUUGAUGAUCUCUUUGACUAGCUUCAGGGAGCAUCUUGGUUCUCCAAGAUUGACUUGCGUUCGGGUUACCAUCAGAUGAGGGUUAGGGAGGAGGAUACGCAGAAGACCGCGUUUCGGACGCGCUAUGGCCAUUAUGAGUUCGUGGUGAUGCUGUUUGGGCUCACCAAUGCUCCUGCCGCGUUUAUGAACCUCAUGAACCGCGUGUGCAGACCGAUGCUGGAUCGGUGUGUGAUAGUUUUCAUUGACGACAUCUUGGUUUAUUCCAAGACACAGGAGGAGCAUGAGGAGCAUCUGAGAGAGGUAUUGGAGACCCUGAGGAGGGAGAGCUUGUAUGCCAAGUUCUCCAAGUGUGAGUUUUGGUUGCACGAGGUGCAAUUUCUCGGUCACCUUGUCAACCAGAACGGGAUUCUGGUCAAUCCGGCCAAGGUCGAGGCCGUGAUGAGGUGGGAGGUUCCGAAGUCUCCAUCUGAGAUUCGGAGUUACNCCUAGGAUUGACAGGCUAUUAUCGGAGAUUCUUUCAGGAUUUCUCCAAGAUAGCCGUACCCCUGACGCGACUGACGAAGAAAGUCAUGGUCUUUCGGUGGGGUCUCGAGCAGCAAGCUGCGUUUGAUACAUUGAGACAGAGAUUGUACGAGGCGCCAAUCUUAGCCCUGCCANNNNNNNNNNNNNNNNNNNNNNNNNNNNNNNNNNNNNNNNNNNNNNNNNNNNNNNNNNNNNNNNNNNNNNNNNNNNNNNNNNNNNNNNNNNNNNNNNNNNNNNNNNNNNNNNNNNNNNNNNNNNNNNNNNNNNNNNNNNNNNNNNNNNNNNNNNNNNNNNNNNNNNNNNNNNNNNNNNNNNNNNNNNNNNNNNNNNNNNNNNNNNNNNNNNNNNNNNNNNNNNNNNNNNNNNNNNNNNNNNNNNNNNNNNNNNNNNNNNNNNNNNNNNNNNNNNNNNNNNNNNNNNNNNNNNNNNNNNNNNNNNNNNNNNNNNNNNNNNNNNNNNNNNNNNNNNNNNNNNNNNNNNNNNNNNNNNNNNNNNNNNNNNNNNNNNNNNNNNNNNNNNNNNNNNNNNNNNNNNNNNNNNNNNNNNNNNNNNNNNNNNNNNNNNNNNNNNNNNNNNNNNNNNNNNNNNNNNNNNNNNNNNNNNNNNNNNNNNNNNNNNNNNNNNNNNNNNNNNNNNNNNNNNNNNNNNNNNNNNNNNNNNNNNNNNNNNNNNNNNNNNNNNNNNNNNNNNNNNNNNNNNNNNNNNNNNNNNNNNNNNNNNNNNNNNNNNNNNNNNNNNNNNNNNNNNNNNNNNNNNNNNNNNNNNNNNNNNNNNNNNNNNNNNNNNNNNNNNNNNNNNNNNNNNNNNNNNNNNNNNNNNNNNNNNNNNNNNNNNNNNNNNNNNNNNNNNNNNNNNNNNNNNNNNNNNNNNNNNNNNNNNNNNNNNNNNNNNNNNNNNNNNNNNNNNNNNNNNNNNNNNNNNNNNNNNNNNNNNNNNNNNNNNNNNNNNNNNNNNNNNNNNNNNNNNNNNNNNNNNNNNNNNNNNNNNNNNNNNNNNNNNNNNNNNNNNNNNNNNNNNNNNNNNNNNNNNNNNNNNNNNNNNNNNNNNNNNNNNNNNNNNNNNNNNNNNNNNNNNNNNNNNNNNNNNNNNNNNNNNNNNNNNNNNNNNNNNNNNNNNNNNNNNNNNNNNNNNNNNCUCAAUUGGAAUAGCACAGAAACAAAAUAACGUCAACACGAUAGGGUAUAAACCUCAACUCGUGUGCUACUGAUGAUUGAUAAGCUUUAUUUGAUUUGUUCUUGAAACCUUUCAAGACUAUUAAGACUCCCACUGACUCCUUGACAUAUAAGAUUCUCUUGUUAAUAACCAUUUCUUAACAAACAAAUAUUCAAGAGUUAGUGUAGCUUUUAUCAAAAACACUUCAUAAAUUUGUCCUAGUUGGUCUUUGUCUUAUCCAAGACAUCACAACUUUCCACAUUUGAUGAAUGUUAUAAACCUUCUUAAUACUUUUCACUCAUUGUCACAAUCUUAACUCUAAGACUUGUUUUGGAACGAAGUAUGAUUGACUUCUUGAUUUAACCAUUUCUUCAAUUCUUGAUUCCUCUUCUUAGACAUACAAUUGUACUAAGACUCACUUAGAGGAUCAAUUGAGAUAUGGUUCUUAAUC
rnacentral:lncRNA from 1 species